rnacentral:lncRNA from 9 species
CGUCUCUCUCCAUACUUCAUACCCUCCUACGCGGGAGGCCCCAUAGCAUCCAUUUAACUCAAACGGUAUUGGAGAUCUGUGGUGAUGAUGCCUGAUGUUCAUGCUCCCCCUUGGAGGUGGACUGGGUGGAGCAGAGGAGUCAUCUGAUUCACCGUACAGGACAGCGUCCAGCCUUCACGCCGGGACGUCCUCCAGGGACGCCGUCGGGAGUCACAGGCUUCAGGAAGCAAAACUAAAUCAAGGGACUAAGGAUGAGUGAAGAUAAAAGUGAAAGAGUCGGGAGUUCCUGGGCUACAGGUCAAAUCGGAGCUGCACCUGCCAGCUACACCACAGCCACACCGGAUCUGAGCCACAUCUGCCAACUACACUGCCACUUGCCACAAUGCUGGACCAG